CUCAUAAAAAGCUAAAAGCCUUUAUCAAAUGCUUAUUAUGUUCCAGGCACUAUUCUAAUAAGUGCCAGGAAUCCAAAGGCAAGCAAGAUAGUUCCAGUCCUCAGGAAGCUUAUAUUCUAAUGGAGUAAGACAGAAAUUGUAGAAAGGAGAGAGGGUGGAAGGAGAUGGCCUGGAAGUGGCUUGGAGUCAUUAGGUUAUAACAAGAUAUGGCUGAAGCUCACCAGUCAGCAUCAGAGGGCACAGGAAUGGAGUCCAGAGAUGGAGAGGAGGAGGAUGGCCAAAAAGAUCGGGAAGUGACCACCAAGAGACACUGA
rnacentral:lncRNA from 1 species